rnacentral:tRNA from 1 species
GCCCUGGUGGUCCUGUGGUUAGGACUCUGCACUUUCACUGCCAGGGUGCAGGUUCAAUCCCUGGUCAGGGAA